UUAAAAUCAUGAACAUUGAAUACAUGAAUUAUUUUCUAGGAACACUUAGCAAUCAAAAAAUAUAUGUGAAAAAGACUAUGAGAAUUUCUAGUGAUUAAAGGACAUGUUGUAACCCAAUAUCAUUUGGAUUGUUGUGGAUGAUCAGAAAGCUCCUCUCAUUUGUAACAUGACAGCUGGAAAAUCGACUGUUUUUUAAAUUCCCUUGCAAGACAGUUAGUGUUUUUUUUAUUGAUGUAAUGCUGCAUUUCUUCAUUAUCUUGCUCUGGAUUCCCAAAGAAAAUAGCUCUUUCUCAAAUCUUAUUCUUCUUAAAAAAUGUGGAUCAUGAGCAGCUGUACCUCGUGCGCUUAUGCUAGUAUCAGCCAUUAGAAUUACCCUUUCCAUCUUCUCAUCAGUUUUUUCAGUUAAUGGAAAGGAAAUCAUGUGCUUAUGUUGUUGCACUGAUAUGUAUUUAUUUUUCUUAAUGUAAUGAAAAACAGGUAUAUGAGUUGUCCAAUGAACUUGUACCAGAUUGCUGUAUUCUGUAUAAAAAAUAACCCAAGGUUCAAAAACUUGGUCUUAGAUUGGACCUGCCUAUUAGCUAAGUUUCAACUUUGGCAAGUUUGGCAAUGCUGGCAUUAGUUCAUCUGUUUAAAUGUUGAAAUUGUAUAGAAAUGACAAAUAAUUUAGGGUUAUUUAAAAACAAUAAUGAAAAAAAUGUAACAGGACAUAAGAAAUAAUGAUACACAUGAAUUAUAUUGUUUAGGACUAUUGGAUAUAUCGUUUGGUUGUUUGACACCAAAACAAUCAAAAAGUGCUUCUCAAAAUAUAAAAUUCCAAAAAGAUGAUGAAGUAGAUUAUUUUUCAUCAUUUUUACAAUUUUAACAUAGUCUAAUGUAUGAUCAUAGAAUUUUCUAUGAGAUAGAGCAUUGGGAUAACCAAAUUUGUGUGAAAAUAAUUGCAUUUUCUCUAAAUCAUUUAGGAAUCCUGAUGUAAUAAUACUUAAUCUUUUCAAAACCUGAAAAGGCCUUAUUUUUCCUAGGGAAAAAGAUAUUAAGAAAUGACAAUAAGUUACCAUAUACAACCCUUAUGUACAAUAAAUUUGGUAUCAUAAUAACUUGAUAAAAACUUUAAAAUCAACUUUUUCGGGUAAGCUCUUAUAGAUCCGAUGCAUUUCCUUCUUUUGGUUAAGCUCUAGAAGAAAUUGCAAAAUGGAAAACUCAAAAAAGAAACUUUUAGCAACUACGCCUACAAAAUUGCUACAUGUAGAUUGUUCUCUCCAUUUAUUGAUGAUCAAUUUUGGCAGUUUACAUAUCCCUUACAGUGUCCAUGUAUGCUUAUCAUGAUUAGUACUUGAUCUAUAUUAACAUCAAGCACUUUAGUUAGCACAAUCAACCAAAAGAAUUUUCUUGUGUCAUUUAAAGUAUUAGUUUGGCUUUUAUUUUUUCCUUGUGGUGGUCAUAUGAGCCCAUAGUUCUAGGAGUUUAUUGCGGGUAAGGUUGUCCUGGUUAGGUCAGGUUGCUUCCACUUUUAAAUUAAAUUGUGCUUGACCCAGACCUAACCGCAAAAUUCUAGCAGGUCAAACGUGGAUGACCUAAACAUGUUCGCCAGUAAUUAAGAAUGAAUCAUAACUAACUUGUAUACUUCACUUCCUACAAGGUGACAACAAUAGGGCAGCUGAAGGAAAAAACAUGUGGAGGGUGGAGCAUGUCUUGAUGGAGGACAAGGCUAGCAAGGAUUGUCAAGACAUAGGAUUACAAGUGGUGGGGUGGAGUGGGUCAUAGAAUGGUUGAUUGAAGGAAGUUAUAGAUAAUCGGAAGAGCAACGUGGUGCAUGCUUGUUCUCUGGUUCCAUAUUUGAGUUUCGCUCGCCAACAUCAAAGCUCUAAUUUUCAUGCAAUGGCCCAUAUUUUUCAUUGGUUCGUCGAUCCCAACAAUUUAUGUUUUAAAAAGAAUUUUAGUGAUGCUUUGAAAAUCUUUUAGUGAAGUCACUUUGGCGUUAUAGUGAGUAUGGAGUUUCUUAUGAUUAGCAACAGAAAUGUAAAUUAUUGGUAUCAUAUAGGUCAUGCAUCAUCAACUCAAACACAAGCCUAACCUGCUGGUGAGCGAAGUAAGAUCUAACUUGAUGGGUUAGGUGGUUGAGUCUAGAGUGGUUGGGGUUAGGCAAGUAAACAUUGCUACCCCUAAUUGAAGGUAAUUAUGGAUUACCCAAAUUAACAACAUGAGCUCAAGUGCACAAAACCUUUUAGUUAUUUUUGGAUUUUAUACCCAAAUUUUUAUUACUAGGGAAUACCGUAAUGGUCCACAAGUUGAUUUUUUUCCUUUUUAGCUUUUAAAAUGUAAACUAAGUCAUUUAUUCUUUAGUGGUUUUUGGACCACUAUGUAAUAAUUAAGGCAACCAAGCAAAGCAAUGGCUAAGCUCUUAUCAGGCAUGAAUAUUUAAUGAGCCUACAAGGAGGUAAAUUUUUGGGCCUUUCUAUGCUUAACUUCCCAUUCAUUUUGUAUAUUUGGCUUUUAAAUCAUAACAAAUUAACUUAUUGAUGUUUAUCUCAUGGUAACAAACAAGGUUUGAUAAAAUCAAUCCAGGCUUAGCUUUUUCUUGAGACAAAAAUCACAAGGAUGGGAGGCCUAUGGAUGAGCGCUUCUAAAGUUUGGAGAUGCACAAAGUAUAGAUGCACCAACAACCCAACACUUGAAAGUUGGGUUUAACAUUCAAAUGGUAGAUGUUUGAUGCUGAUAGUCUGAUUCAAAGAGGAUUUUGAAAAAGCAUGUUUGCAUGUGAGAGACAACAUAAUUGUUGUGAAUAGUGAAUUCCUAGUGUGUAUGGAUGUAUUUGUUAUUCAUAUCAUAUGAUUAAUCUAAAUUAUGCUUGAUGCACUUUUCCUGCAUCUUUCCUACAUGGUAAAGUAAGCUAAUUAGAGUGGUGGAGAGGAAAAGAUGUGGUUAUGAAUGACCAGACGUCUCAUGGAUGAACCAACAUGCUAGAGCAAUGUUUUAAAUCCUGCAAGGAUAGGGGACCUCACACACAUCCCAACCCAUUUCCAUGAGAAUCUAGGAUCUAGGUUGGGCCAUGAGUGAGACAACCGGUUUGCCCCUGUCGCACUUACAUCCCCUCGUGACGGUUCCGCAUCGCUCUGCAUUACCACGUCUGCAUCUCCGAAUCCAAUGCCACCAAAAGCUUAAGAUUCGGUGAUGGCUGCUUUCUUUGGCAUGCAAUAAGGAACAAAUAGGAGAGAGAGAGGGGGGAGGAGGAGGAUGAAGGUUGGCGGCAUGCCAAAUUUGGUGACCGGCAUCCUUUGUAAGCAUUGGAGGCAAAGAGAAAGGAAGAAGAGGGUCGACAUCCUCUCUAGUCAAUCUCUGCUUGCUAGUUGCGUGCCGAUCCAUUGCCACAUGGAGCCGAUCAUGGAUUCGGAGUUGCAUCCCUCUAUUUGUGGUACUUCCAUGGACUUCCUAGUUGUUCGAUCUAUGGAGAUGGACAAAGACCUCCAGGAAGAGAUCAUGAAAUGAAGAGAUAGAUUAGGGUUUUUGUCUACCUGGGUUUCAAAGAGAAAGGAGAGGAGAAAUUGGUGGCGAGGGCUUGCUCGAGGUGAUGGUGGUUUCUAUUAUCCUUUCGAUUCAACAACGUACCAAUACCAAUAGUUCCUUGAUGUUGGGUAAGUGAUUGAAUCUUCGCCUUGGAAUAAAAAGGAUUGAUAUUGGUGCGAUCUAAUCCAUUAUCGGAAAUCAAUACAGAACUUGCCCUAUCAUACCUUUUUCCGGUAUACGAAAUAGUGGACUUGACUAACUCAAUUCUUAUGAAAUUGCGAAUCAGAUCGUUUGUCCUUACCUCAACAAAGGAAGCAUGAACCUCUUCUAUAGAACCAUUUUUUUCUUGGUCCCAAUUCAAUACUAAGCAAGUCCGAACUAAUUGAAUACUUGUGUGAUAAAUUCCUCGAAUUGACUUGCCAUUUCCAUAAAGGAUAUAAUUGACAACUCUAAGUUGGACAUUAUCCUUUUCCUGCAAUAGAUGCUGCCAAAGGGAGUGGCGAUGCCAUAUGCAAAAAGGAAGAGACUCAUAGAAUGGCAGAGGCAAAUAGAGCUUUUGCACAUUUUCGUUAAUCCAUGAAUAGGAUCUAU